rnacentral:tRNA from 2 species
GCCGGUAUAGCUCAACGGUAGAGCAACGGUUUUGUAAACCGUAGGUUGCGGGUUCGAAUCCCAUUACCGGCU